rnacentral:rRNA from 1 species
UGGGGAAUUUUGGACAAUGGGCGAAAGCCUGAUCCAGCCAUGCCGCGUGAGUGAAGAAGGCCUUCGGGUUGUAAAGCUCUUUUAGUCGGAAAGAAAGAGUUGCAAUGAAUAAUUGUGAUUUAUGACGGUACCGACAGAAAAAGCACCGGCUAACUACGUGCCAGCAGCCGCGGUAAUACGUAGGGUGCGAGCGUUAAUCGGAAUUACUGGGCGUAAAGGGUGCGCAGGCGGUCGUGAAAGUCAGAUGUGAAAGCCCCGGGCUUAACCUGGGAAUUGCGUUUGAAACUACAAGACUAGAGUGCAGCAGAGGGGAGUGGAAUUCCAUGUGUAGCAGUGAAAUGCGUAGAGAUGUGGAAGAACACCGAUGGCGAAGGCAGCUCCCUGGGGUGACACUGCCGCUCAUGCACGAAAGCGUGGGGAGCAAACA